rnacentral:rRNA from 1 species
AACGAACGCUGGCGGCAGGCCUAACACAUGCAAGUCGAGCGGACCUUUCGGGGUCAGCGGCGGACGGGUGAGUAACGCGUGGGAAUAUGCCCUUCUCUACGGAAUAGUCCUGGGAAACUGGGGGUAAUACCGUAUACGCCCUUUGGGGGAAAGAUUUAUCGGGGAAGGAUUAGCCCGCGUUGGAUUAGGUAGUUGGUGGGGUAAUGGCCUACUAAGCCGACGAUCCAUAGCUGGUUUGAGAGGAUGAUCAGCCACACUGGGACUGAGACACGGCCCAGACUCCUACGGGAGGCAGCAGUGGGGAAUCUUAGACAAUGGGGGCAACCCUGAUCUAGCCAUGCCGCGUGAGUGAUGAAGGCCUUAGGGUUGUAAAGCUCUUUCAGCUGGGAAGAUAAUGACGGUACCAGCAGAAGAAGCCCCGGCUAACUCCGUG